GACGAACGCUGGCGGCGUGCUUAACACAUGCAAGUCGAACGGAAAGGCCCUGCUUUUGUGGGGUGCUCGAGUGGCGAACGGGUGAGUAACACGUGAGUAACCUGCCCUUGACUUUGGGAUAACUUCAGGAAACUGGGGCUAAUACCGGAUAGGAGCUCCUGCUGCAUGGUGGGGGUUGGAAAGUUUCGGCGGUUGGGGAUGGACUCGCGGCUUAUCAGCUUGUUGGUGGGGUAGUGGCUUACCAAGGCUGUGACGGGUAGCCGGCCUGAGAGGGUGACCGGCCACAUUGGGACUGAGAUACGGCGCAGACUCCUACGGGAGGCAGCAGUGGGGAAUAUUGCACAAUGGGCGGAAGCCUGAUGCAGCAACGCCGCGUGCGGGAUGACGGCCUUCGGGUUGUAAACCGCUUUCGCCUGUGACGAAGCGUGAGUGACGGUAAUGGGUAAAGAAGCACCGGCUAACUACGUG
rnacentral:rRNA from 1 species